rnacentral:tRNA from 1 species
UCGACCGGGCCGCCGCGGCGGCGAACGGUCUCACCGAGGCCGAGAUCGGCCGCACGGUCGCGGCGGCGUUCCGCCCGGCGCCGGUCGGG